UACGUAGGCAGCGAGCGUUGUUCGGAAUUACUGGGCGUAAAGAGUGUGUAGGCGGUGCUCUAAGUCUGUCGUGAAAUCUCCCGGCUUAACCGGGAGGCUGCGGCGGAAACUGGUGUGCUAGAGGGUGGGAGAGGUAAGCGGAAUUCCUGGUGUAGCGGUGAAAUUCGUAGAUAUUCGGAAGAACACCAGUGGCGAAGGCGGCUCACUGGACGACUAUUGACGCUGAGGCACGAAAGCGUGGGGAGCAAACAGG
rnacentral:rRNA from 1 species